GCCGGGUCAUCUCGCGGGCCACAAUGGACUCCUUGAUGGGGGCGAACUUGUAGUUGUUCAGGUCGUAAUUGGCAUCGGAGUACAGCGACGCGCUGGUGGCCGGCGCGGCACAGCGCCUGAGCUGCGCCUUGCGCGAGGUGAACAGGCGGACCCCCGCCACCGAGCUCGAGCUGGACCCGACAUUGCUCUUGAGCUCCACAUUGGCACCCAGUCCCGUGGCCACUCCCGCAGCGGAAAUGCUCAUGGUCGCCGCCAUUGCUUCAGAUCCUGCCAAUUACAAUCGCUUCUCGCACUGCUUGGAUUCCGAUGGGACACAGUAGUUAGCGAUCAGAGCAAUAUGGAUGACGAUCCAAGGAGAAUAACAACUGGCAUUGUGGGGUUAUGAUCCUGGAAGCCUAAAUGGGCAUUCGAUCGAGGGCGUGGUCAAAAAGGGGACAAAAGAGUCUCCUAGUGAACGUCAGAUAGAAUGUUCGUAAAUAGCAAAGAGGAACCUUGAACGCAUGGAGAGGUGGACAUGCACUCACAAACUCGCAGAUUUUUUUUGCGGAUUGAAUUACUGCCUCCAAGAAAACAGGUGAAAAGUGCUUGUUGAACCCAUAAAAGGACUCCAGUUAUCUUUGAUGCGGAAUGGAUGUGACGAAACCUCAUCCGUGGGGCAUGUGCAUGAAGGCUUGAGUAAAUGCAUUAACCAAUAGGACCAGAAUAUAUGAUAUUUUGAACACUCUAAUUGUUAAUUACACAAUUAGGUUUAGUAGUGCGGUCAAUAUUACCCUUUAAUAACAUCUUUGUGUGCAAAACAAUGGUACAUUGAUUUCUAGUGUCGCAGGUUCUAGCAAUGAAAUUGAUUACUUGGUGUCAGACAAAACAACUGGGAAUCCUUGUGCAUGAAGCUGAGUAGCUGAAUUGAAUGAAGAGUUUCAAAAUAGAAUGACCGCGGGUGGAGUUGAUAACCACAUUUCACGUGAUAGAAUUCCCUCAUCCUUCAUUGCUUCAUUCUACUUUGAGACAGACAUUCGAAUGCAUUCACCCCAUUUAAUGCCCACAUUACCACUGUCACUUCUCAUUUCACCAACUUCGGUCGCAUCACUCCCACCACGGAAGGGCUGGCGCUAGGAACACAUCUGGUUCGAAAGACUCGUCAGGGAUCGGAACUCUUCAGUGCAGCUCUGGUGCAACUGAAACACAAACGUCGGAACGCAUGUCAUGAAUUGUUUUUCUCCUGCUUUCUAUGCAAUGGCUCAGAUUGUGCCGGCAUCAGCUCUGAGGGACAAAGACCACCGGGGCAGAUUCCUGUUCAUUCUCCUUCAGGGCCAAGCGGAAGCUUAGGAAUAUUGCAGGGAAAGAUUCUAACCGAACCCCGAGGGAGUGUGCUUUGUCGUAGAGCACACGGACUGGUUUUGGUUGCGGAGUGGCAAUUAAUUCGCAACUUUCCCAGAGAGAAGCUACCAAGCAGAUUUUUUUUUUCGAGUUUUGGUUUUAUGGGGGUGUGGGGGCGAAUAUUUUGAUGCAGGCUUGGCCAUUCGACAGGGGUAAAGGUCGGUGGUGUCAUCAGGACCACCGCCAGUGCCCUUUUUACCCCACCACCCCCAUCCCCACUUCCACUCCAACCCAUGCACUAAAAGAAUCCUAGAUGAGAGGUUGUGAGGACUAGGGGGCUUGUCUCAGCUCCUCUCAGCCCAUCGAUCAGCGAGUUAAAGAGUCCGAAGAUUAGUGUCAAGAUAUUUUUAUGUGCAGCUUUAGGAAUCCUUCAGGUUGGACUGGCUCUUUUUUGUGCUGUUGCCAUAGCCGAGGAGGGAUCUCGCACGAAGCCGUCGAGCUUGGUGGGGCUCUCUCUUGCACUUGCGUCGUACCCCCCCCCCCCCCCCACGGCUCUACCUUCCCAAGAGGGCUCUGUCCCCAUGUCUUUCCAAAUGCCUUUCGAGGUUCUUCCAUCCUUUGCAUUGUAAUUUAUAGAUAUUUUGGGGCGUUGAAAGUAAGAUAUUAAAAGAAAAAAAAAGUAACAAAUGUAGUGAGAAGGUUUUCAAUGAGAUUAGCAUGAUGUGUGAAAAUUAUUAUUAUAAUUAUUGUUAUAAUCUUUUUUCUUCUCUAUUAGAAGUAAUUACCAUUCAAGCUAUGUAAUGGUUGCUUUUGGAUCUUUAAUUUUUAAAUAUUUUGGAGUUUCAAAUGUAGAUGUUGAUACAGGAUCAAUUUAUUGUGAAGCAAUUAGUUUACAUGUAUUUUUCUUAGAUUUUAUUUUUAUUUUUUAUUUUUUUUAUACAAAUAGAAUAGAAUUGCUUGGAUUACAAUAAAAAUAAAAUUAAUAUCUUUUAGAGAGACAAAUUUAUAUGUAAGGUAUACUAUAAGAACCAAUUUUAUUUCUUAAUAUCUAUUGGAUGAAUAAUAAGACCAUAAAUAUUUCCAAUUAAAAGUAUAGAAUGACUUAUGUUUAUUUUUCACUUAAAAAGUUGUCUAAUUCAACUUCUAAUAUGAUAUUUUUUAACUUCUAACUUCUAAUACUUUAAUUGAAUGAACUAUAAUUUUUUUCUACUUAUCUACCUAAAAAUGAGAAAUUUAAAAUUAUUUUUUUGACAUGAGAUUAAUAAAUAAUUUAAAACCUUCAAUAUUAUUUUUUAUUAUUUUAAAAUUUGGUAAAUCAAAUUGCACAUGUAAUUCUACUUAAUAGUCAAAUUUAACUUAAGGAGAAACAUAAUUAUGAAAAAUAUUAAUACAAUAUACAAUCUAUUGUAAUAUUUAUAAUAAUAAGCUAAUUUAAAAUAUAUAAAUAGUAUUCUUAUGUAAAAGAUUAUAUUUAUAUUUAUAUAUUUAGAAUAAUUUAAAAAAAGUUGAAUUGUAUUCUACAAAAAUUGAUUAAUAAAAUUUAAUUCAUACAAUUCAACUUUUAAUAAUCAAAUUAAUCUUUUAAUCUUUUAAGUUGAAUUUUGUCUAACAAUAUUUUAAUAUUAAAACUAAAAUACAAAGAUGAUAAAUACUUUGGAAAUACAUAGAAUGCCAUAUUCUUCUAUGAUUUUUUUUAGAAUCAAGAUUAAUUUGAUUAAUAAAAGUUAAAAUUUUAUUCUAUACAAAAAAUGAAUUGUAUGGAAUGCAAAUUAAACUCAAAAUUCGUACAAAAUUCCUUUGAACAUGAAUUCCAACUACAACUUAUUAACUUUUUUUGGAUUUUUUUUUGGAAUUAGUACUUGUUAAAUUAACAUUUAACAAGAAAUAUAAAAAUCCAAUGAUAAUUCAAAGUGAUCUACAAGCCUUCUUUGAAUCAAAGCUAAGCUUAAGGAGAACCUUCCAACCUACCAAAUUUUUGAUGUACUCAUAUUUGAAUUAUUAGAGUUUGUAUUUUAGACUCAUUCUAUAUAAAUUCUAUGUUUUUUUAAAAAAAUUACUAAAACAUACUAUUAACUUAGAUAUUUUUUCUAACCAAUUAAUGUAAUAUUUAAAAUUAAAAUUUGAUGACUAAGCUUUAUAUUUUAAUUAUAACACCUACAACUCUAAUUGCAACAACCAAACCAAUUGUCAAGGACAAAGACUCGAUGAGGGAAAAUAUACACCAAAAGGCUAUCUCGAUAUAAUAAGUCAAAAUAUAAACAAGUAGGUAUAUUAAAAGGAAACUGGAAUGGCUAUUGCCACAAGACAAGAAACUAAAGACUUUUGAACCUGGACUAGAAGCAAGAAAGGAGUUGACAAGAGUGAAGAAGCCUUCACUCUUGUCUCUAUAUAUACUAUCUAAAUAGGGGCUACGUGGCGACGUUCUAUAGGACCUCCAAUAUGUGUUGACUUUGUAGGACACAUGCCUUGACUUACAAGGCAAGUUUUUCUACGUGUGGGCCACAUAGUUAGCUUGAUCAUCAAGCUAACAACAUGUGUGGCACAUGGCCAACUUGUUGACCACGUUUCUAAUCCAAAAAGUCAAUUAAAGACACCUAUGAAGUCAAAGCAGCGUCUAGAAAGUUUCUAGGAAGCUUCUAUAUUAAAUAUUAUAGAAUUAACUUAUUUCUAUCUACUUUUACUUACUUCUACCUAUUUCUAUAUGUAAUUAUUAGCUUACAUGAUUAUGGCCGUGACACCAAUAGCUAAUCACAAAACUGUACUUAGCAAAGGCAAUUGCCAUCCACUCACUUACACUUGUAGCCAUAAGUCUAAAAUUGAUUUUUACUAGUGGAAACCAAAUUGUAAUGCCAUUAACUCAAUCAAAAGACCUUUAACAUCUUUUAUAAACCAAUACCUCAUAUUACUACGAGAUCUAUAAAUACAACUAUUAUUUUCAAUGACAAAUAUUAUAACAUCAUAUUCUUCUUACUUUCAAAAUACUUGAUAAUCCAUUUCUAUGCUAAAGUAGUCAUUUUCAAAUUUUUACACAUUUAUGCAAUAAAUUUUAAUAUCAAGUGUGUUGUCCACUAAAAAAGCCACCAACAUGCAAGUAUAUGAAGAUAGUAUGUGUCUAAUUAUUCAUGCUUGUAAGCUCAACAUUGUUAUCAAUUUUGAUGGCAAAAUCUAUGAAACCAUUUAGCUAAGCUUAUUUGAAAAUGACCUUUAAGAUGCUCAAAAUUUAUAAGUGAUUCAUGACAUACACUACAAUAAAUUCAAUCCUUUCAUUUGGAGAUAUAUUUGUUGCAUAUUAAUUUUAAUAUCAAGAUAUUUUUAAUAGUAAAUAAUUUUAUAUUUAGAUUUAUAAUCUACAUCAAUUCAUAACCAAAUUUGUUUAUAAUUAUUGAAAACACAUGAUAUCUUUAAUAAUAAAAUUUAAGAUUCUAUCCAAUUAGGUAUUUUUAUUUAAUAAAUUUUGUAUAGAUUCACUUAAAUAUAUCUACAUUACAACAUUUGAUCUUCCACACAACAUCUUAUCUAAUGUCCUAUGCUAUGGAAAGCAAGCCAAAGAUAGAUCAUCCAAAUCAUAUUCAACUUCUAUCACUUCUUCUUUCAAUGCUCUUCACAAAUAAUGUCAAAGGUGCAACAAAAAUCAACUACAGUUGGCUAACAUGCUUCUGAAUUCAACCACUCAAUAUGGAUAAUUUAAAGACAUGACUUCUUCUAAACCAACAAUUCUUGUAGUAGUCUUGUCCCACAACCAAAUUCCAUCCCACCCACAUUGGAGCAAAUUAUAAUGACUCUUAUAUACAUUACAAAAGUCCUUUGACUAUUAUAUCUAUUCAUGCUCCUUGCUUUAAAACCCAAAUGUUAAUACUUUAUCAAAUACUAUUUUCCACCAAGAAAAAACCACUUAGUCAUUGAACUCCUACCAGAUCAAUGCUAUUAAUAUUUGCCACCUCAUUGGAACAGCAUCUCAAAUAAUUCUUGAAAUCUUUUCUUUUUAAAGAAUUUAGUGCAAGCGUCUUGUUGCUUGUUUCAGAUUUUUAAUUUCUUUGUCAAAAUAGAUAUUAAUAGAGAACCAAUCCACCAAAAGAACAAUCUGCAACGCAUUUUCUUCAGUCCAUGGAUAAUGCCCAUAAGUGAGAGCUUGCAAGCACAACAGGGACUUGAAGGUUGAGCUCAUUAUCUUGAAUGAAUGAGACGUUGGACUCUUGCCUUUUGUUUGAUGCGAUACCACUUCGAGGGAUUUGCUAAUUCGGCAAAGGCUCUUUGCGACCAGGCAACGCUCGAUGCGAGGCAUGUCCACCAAAACGAGGAAUCGGCUCAACCCACAUUUUGUAUCUACAAUAUGCAACAAUCACAUCGAAAGGCCAGUUACAGACCUGGAGACUUGGUCGUCUAGAUGGAAAGAUCUUCCACAUUUUGAUAUUGCAGGAAUUCCAUCUUUAGUACCGCAUGUCACCAUCACGACGUUGGAUCCACGCAUCACUUUAUCAGUGGGGCUGUAGGCCCAUUCUCGAGAUGAUCGACACCGUGCAUUGCAGAUUGGAGUUAGUCGUGGAUUAGUUGCAAGGUUGCGAUUGAUGCCACGAUUCUCGUGGUUCUGCAAAGUGUCGUCGAUAGAUCGAACGGCACAACCAGAGAGCCAGACCUUCGAGUUAUGCAACCAGCUGCACAACCAACAGAUCUCAGCCAUCAUGUAUAGGUUGUUUCUGCAGUAGGAUUUUGCAGUGGCCCCCGAGGCUUGAGAGUGGCCCCUGUAGUGAAUAUUAUGAGCUAUCAUCAUCAAUUGUUGGGUUCCUCCAAGAAUAGACUAGCAGAUUAUUGCAUGUUUCCCAGAGCGGUGUGGAUCGUGGACCGGCUGGAGCUUUUAUGUAACUAUUCCGAUGUAAUCAGAAAGUAAAUCAGAACCAUUCGGCGAUAUUCCUUUUAUAACUGAGUAAAUCGACAGGAGAAACAUCGAGAAAUGCGAUUCCUAAAAUCUGGCACGGCGUUCAACCCGCCCAAAUUGUGAUUCAUUCCUUCGAUCAUGAGGUAUGUAGCUCUGAGGUCGAAAAAGACUAUGUCAAGAUGGCUCUAGCAUUGAAGAUUAGAGAAAGAUUCUAGCAAGAAAAGCACAAUAUCCUUCACCGAUUGUUCGUUUACUGAAGUUGACAAAUCAUGGGACGAUGUUGAUUAUAUCUGAACGCGUGAGAAAUGAAAACUAACUGGACUAAUGCACCAGCAUAGAUGUAGUAUGCUGGAUUGCACAUCCUACCGUUUAUACAAAAGAAUAAAGCAGAAUUGGCAACGAAUGGUGUAGAAGACUCAUGAGUUAUGACAGAUCUCUUGUUUUUUGAACAAUUAAAAUAAUCUCUGAACAAGAUUCGUUGGUGAUGACUCAUGUCUACAGUAAUGUAUUGGACGAUUCCCUCGGGACAAAUGCUAUAUAUUGACAUACAAAACUCUCUCGAAUCUAGGGAUGACCUACGAUUUUGCAACUGUCCAGUUCGAUGACGAAAGUUCGCAUCUAGCAGAAACAUUAAAGAAUGUCGACAUCCCAUCGGUAUGCAUACAUGACAACCAAAUGGACAGUGCAUCAGCAUCAGUGAAAUUCAAAUUCCUCAGUCCAACCGAUCUGGUCGAUUGGGUAUCUCCUCUACCCAUAUACGAAAGUCAGCUUGCUGACCCGGCGACAAUAAGCGAUUGCAGCUUACGAUUGCCAACAAGCGAUUGUCCAUUUUAUUGCUCAUUCCAUUGAACACAGAACAAACACACCAUUCUUCGAGCACAUCUUUCGAGAAACCGAAACGGCAACACUCCAUGUUUACCCGGAUCCGCCUCCCCCCUAUACAAACCUAAUCCUAAUCAACUUCGCCACCCAUCAUGGAUGACCCUCGUUACUAACUGCUUACACAUCACACAUCUUAUCAAAACAGACUCAACUUCCCAUCGAACCCAAGGUUCCACGGAUUAGCUGAAUUCUAAGCGGAUGCCGUCAUGUCGUCGGUGGACGCCAAUACCAGCUCUGGGUGCACAUUGGGCUUGUAGUUCCCGUCCACCUCGUUGGGUAGCCCCAACGCCCUCAGCGCCAAGUGUGCCGCCUUCUGCCCGGAUAUCAUCAUCGCUCCGAAUGUGGGUCCCUGCAUUCCAUUUCCACACCACAAUUCCUUCAGCAUUCUGCACCUCACUCUGCAAGCGGCAAGCGGCAAGGCGAUCAUCCACACACAUGAACCAUCACCACGUUGCCUCGACGUUCUUACCAUUCUCGGCGACCCGUCGAUCUCCGCCACCUCCAUGCCCGUCACGAUCAUCCCUGGCACCACCUCCCGCGUGUGCUUCACAAUCGCGUCCUCCGCCGCGUUCAUGUCCAGGCACUUCAUCCCCGGCACGCUCUCGAUCAUCCCGAUGCUCCGCAGCCGCUUCACCCCGGUCGCCCCGAAUGGCCCGUCGUGCCCGCACGACGACACCACCACCUUCGCCUCCAUCACGUUCGGGUCCAUGCACGACUGUGUGUUGUGGUUCUGCGCCACCAGCGCCCAGUUCGUCACCACGCCCGACACCCGGUCGCCCCGGAUAAUCAGAUCCUCCGCCGCCACCGCGUUGAACAGCUUCACGUUCGGCCGCGCCAGCAGCUUGCUCAUGAUCGUGGACGUGAACAGCGCCGCGUGCUUGAUCACCACGUAGUUCUCCAUCUCCUCGUACGGCACCUCGAUCUCGUCCAGGAACCGGUGCGCCGGCUUGCGUACGAUCAUGGCCGAGAACAAUUGCCCGCCUAACCACGCGCCUCCUCCAGGCGACACCGACUGCUCCACGAUGGCCACCUUCACGUUGGGGUUCUUGGACAGCUCGUACGCGCACGACAGCCCCGCGGACCCAGCACCCACCACCACCACGUCGGUGUCGGCGUGGGUGAUCAUGUCGGUCAUGUAGCGCCGGGUCAUCUCGCGGGCCACAAUGGACUCCUUGAUGGGGGCGAACUUGUAGUUGUUCAGGUCGUAAUUGGCAUCGGAGUACAGCGACGCGCUGGUGGCCGGCGCGGCACAGCGCCUGAGCUGCGCCUUGCGCGAGGUGAACAGGCGGACCCCCGCCACCGAGCUCGAGCUGGACCCGACAUUGCUCUUGAGCUCCACAUUGGCACCCAGUCCCGUGGCCACUCCCGCAGCGGAAAUGCUCAUGGUCGCCGCCAUUUCUUCAGACUCUGGAGGACAGAAUUGCUACAGGCAAAUAGACACAACAACUAGCAGGACCUGGUGCGGGUAAU
rnacentral:lncRNA from 1 species